UGUUGCCAUAAAACAGCUGCCGACAUAAAUGGAUGCUGUGCUUCCAUGAGCGUCAAAUACCGCCGCCGAUGGGAAUACAUUGCAAUCAGUUGAAAGCUCUUUGUGUCCGUU